GAAAAAAAUUAUUUUAUUCAUCACACCCUAGCGAGGUAUGAAGCGGCGGGCUCGCACGAACUUCAAUACCAUCUGUGUCACUGCUCUAACUUUCUCUUUGCUACCAUAUCAUGAUGCUUUGAUUUUUUUUAUUUUAUUUUCUUUAAGCCGAUGAUUUGUAAAGGUCAUUGAGAGAUGCCCUGUUUGGUAGAGUUUCUCUCCGGCUUCGACUCUAGUUUUUUCAGAAGAGUCAUGCCAAAUGAGUCAUGCCAAAUGUGUUUUUGUGGAGAAACUAUUUUUAAGUAAAAAGUAGAGGGGUCGAAGCCAUUUGUGGUUUCGUCAAAACGGCUCUGGCUCUUCUAGAAAAGCCCCUCGUGAGGAGUCGUGGCAAACACCCCCUUACUAUGACAAAGAAACUCCCUUGAUGUGCAAUAAGACUAGCUAGUCAACAUGCAAGUGGGUCACAAUUGGUUGACCCAAACACUAACUCAUUGUAGCUAUACCAAUAAGCUAGCUACUCCAUGCAUGUUCAAAAUCCGAGUUGGCUGUGAAAUUUUCAUGGAAGAAAGUUAAGUUUCUUCCAUGAAAAAAGUUAAGUUUCGUUGAGCGUGGUGUCUUCGGCUUCCUUAGUCCGCGUUCCAGCAGGGUUUGGUGUUAAUCUUCUACUACAAACGUGACAACUAGAAAUAGAGUAGUCAAAGCUUGCACUUUCCAAAAAGAGAAAAGAUGCUUUUCACCAGAUCGAAUUUGAAUUUUGAGAUAAUAAAAAAGGGUUGAUGUCCCGGUCCAUGUGCGUCACAUUUUCAUUAAGGCAGCGUUUUUAUUUGUCGCGGUGAGCUUAUCUCCGGUUUCCAAGUUUUUUAAUGUGGUCUUUCAAAAAAUAAGUUUCUCAUAUUUGAAGUUCCACACAGAAGUAUUCCUUCAAAGGCUUCACAUACAUUUGGUUCAUUCACAACUGAAAUGUCACAUUGAUUAAGACCCUCAUGCUUUGCAUUGUCUCUUACA
rnacentral:lncRNA from 1 species